GACAGCAGUCGCCACGGGAAUACGAAGGGGGCUAGCGUUGUUCGGACUUACUGGGCGUAAAGCGCACGUAGGCGGACUUUUAAGUCAGGGGUGAAAUCCCGGGGCUCAACCCCGGAACUGCCUUUGAUACUGGAAGUCUUGAGUAUGGUAGAGGUGAGUGGAAUUCCGAGUGUAGAGGUGAAAUUCGUAGAUAUUCGGAGGAACACCAGUGGCGAAGGCGGCUCACUGGACCAUUACUGACGCUGAGGUGCGAAAGCGUGGGGAGCAAACAGGAUUAGAUACCCCAGUAGUCCCUGUCUCUUAUAC
rnacentral:rRNA from 1 species